GUUAUAGAAGCUUAAUAUGAGCGUUGGUCUUGUAAACCGAAGGAUGAAAUUUAAAUUUCCUAUAGCU
rnacentral:tRNA from 1 species